GCUUACUGGGUAGCUCAGUCAGUCGAGCACGAGACUCUCAAUCUCAGGCUUGUGGGUUCGAGCCCCACGUUGGGCA